GUGCUCACUUGGCAACACAUUACUAAAAUUGGAAUGAUAUGGAGAAACUUAUCAUGGCCCUGCACAAUGACGAAAUGCAGAUUAUGUCAUAAAGUUUUCCAUAUUUUG
rnacentral:snRNA from 14 species